UCAUGUGUGCUGUCUGCCUGCCU
rnacentral:misc_RNA from 1 species